rnacentral:rRNA from 1 species
GACGAACGCUGGCGGCGUGCUUAACACAUGCAAGUCGAACGGUAAGGCUCCAGUUUGCUGGGGUACACGAGUGGCGAACGGGUGAGUAACACGUGGGUGACCUGCCCUGCACUUCGGGAUAAGCCUGGGAAACUGGGUCUAAUACCGGAUAGGACCGCACCGUGAGGGUGUGGUGGAAAGUUUUUUCGGUGUGGGAUGGGCCCGCGGCCUAUCAGCUUGUUGGUGGGGUAAUGGCCUACCAAGGCGGCGACGGGUAGCCGGCCUGAGAGGGUGGACGGCCACAUUGGGACUGAGACACGGCCCAGACUCCUACGGGAGGCAGCAGUGGGGAAUAUUGCACAAUGGGCGGAAGCCUGAUGCAGCGACGCCGCGUGGGGGAUGACGGCCUUCGGGUUGUAAACUCCUUUCACCAUCGACGAAGGGUUUCUGACGGUAGAUGGAGAAGAAGCACCGGCUAACUACGUGCCAGCAGCCGCGGUAAUACGUAGGGUGCGAGCGUUGUCCGGAAUUACUGGGCGUAAAGAGCUCGUAGGUGGUUUGUCGCGUCGUCUGUGAAAUUCCGGGGCUUAACUCCGGGCGUGCAGGCGAUACGGGCAUAACUUGAGUACUGUAGGGGAGACUGGAAUUCCUGGUGUAGCGGUGAAAUGCGCAGAUAUCAGGAGGAACACCGGUGGCGAAGGCGGGUCUCUGGGCAGUAACUGACGCUGAGGAGCGAAAGCAUGGGGAGCGAACAGGAUUAGAUACCCUGGUAGUCCAUGCCGUAAACGGUGGGCGCUAGGUGUGGGUUUCCUUCCACGGGAUCCGUGCCGUAGCUAACGCAUUAAGCGCCCCGCCUGGGGAGUACGGCCGCAAGGCUAAAACUCAAAGGAAUUGACGGGGGCCCGCACAAGCGGCGGAGCAUGUGGAUUAAUUCGAUGCAACGCGAAGAACCUUACCUGGGCUUGACAUAUACAGGAUCGCGCCAGAGAUGGUGUUUCCCUUGUGGCUUGUAUACAGGUGGUGCAUGGUUGUCGUCAGCUCGUGUCGUGAGAUGUUGGGUUAAGUCCCGCAACGAGCGCAACCCUUGUCUUAUGUUGCCAGCACGUUGUGGUGGGGACUCGUAAGAAACUGCCGGGGUUAACUCGGAGGAAGGUGGGGAUGACGUCAAAUCAUCAUGCCCCUUAUGUCCAGGGCUUCACACAUGCUACAAUGGUCGGUACAGUGGGUUGCCAGUCCGUGAGGGCGAGCUAAUCCCGCAAAGCCGGUCUCAGUUCGGAUCGGGGUCUGCAACUCGACCCCGUGAAGUCGGAGUCGCUAGUAAUCGCAGAUCAGCAACGCUGCGGUGAAUACGUUCCCGGGCCU